UACGGGGGGGCAAGCGUUGUUCGGAAUUACUGGGCGUAAAGGGCUCGUAGGUGGCCAACUAAGUCAGACGUGAAAUCCCUCGGCUUAACCGGGGAACUGCAUCUGAUACUGGAUGGCUUGAGUUCGGGAGAGGGAUGCGGAAUUCCAGGUGUAGCGGUGAAAUGCGUAGAUAUCUGGAGGAACACCGGUGGCGAAGGCGGCAUCCUGGACCGACACUGACGCUGAGGAGCGAAAGCCAGGGGAGCAAAGCGGG
rnacentral:rRNA from 1 species